rnacentral:lncRNA from 1 species
AAUAUUCUAUUUCUUCAGCAAUAAAUGCUCCUUUUCCCAAAGUGCUAGUUCAGAAUGGAGAAAAACAUUCAGUUUUGAAAUGCCUCAAUGAAAUUUAAUUUUUGGUUUGAAUCAACAGCUUCACUCGUUGCCAUUUUAAUGCUAUUUUAUGCUGAAAUGUCAAUUGGAAACUAACAUUUUAAAAUGUCAAAACAUUUCACGUCUGCAGACGGUACCGAUAGUUUUUUGCUUCCAUGUGUCCAAACAGAAAAUGCUUUUGGAAUUUUACCAUGGAAAGGAAAAAAAAAAAAUUUAAAAAUAUACAUAUAUAUAAAUCAAUAUUUUGACUUAUUGGAAUGAAAACAAAGUUAAAAUACAGUAUUUCCUCUAGGAUGCAAACAAUAUUUUCUGACAAGCUGUAAUCACCAAAAAGAAAUCUGAGCCAAAUAUUUGCUACCACGGUCUGUUAUAGCUUGAUGGCAAGAGAAAAGAAAGAGAUUUUUGAUAUUGUAGCCUCUCUGAACCCUUUUUUGCCAAUUAUUUCCAGUCUGCAGGAAGCUCCUUCCACCACACAGAACCAUUUCCAAAGCACUGAUUUUCCUUAAUGGUGGGGAAAACAGCCUCAAAAAAUCAUGGUUCUCCUCUAAAAAAGGAGAAUUUGGGGGAGAUUUGAAUUUUGGGGGGAUUUUCCCUGUAUUUUGCACUGAUGACACCUUACCCCCACCAGUUUGGGGAAAGUGGGGAGGAAAUGGAACUGGAAGAUUUUUACUACACUUCUGCAGGGAACACGUGCACAGGGUUUGGGGGUUUUAUCCAAUGUAAAUGCAAUUAUCCAGUGAUCUAACCUUUUAAAUUCCUGCCUUGCCCAUGCAUUACCAAAAAAACAAAUGGAAAAAAAUAGGAUAAUAAAGCAAAUAGAAGACAAGCAAUGUGGGGCAGCCACAGUAAAAAAAAAAAAAAAAAAAAAUUGAAUUUUACAUAUUUUUCUGGUUCCAGAGGCAGGGUGUAAACAUACAGAGCUGGAAAAUGGGAUGAAAACUGGUAGUUUUGGUAGUUUUUAUCAGCCAAGUUUCUUGUUGCAAAGCUCACAGCUCCAUCAUCCUCGAGGGCGCAGCUCAGCCACCCUCCAUCACCUUUACAUCUCCUCCAAAUUUCUAUUUUUCUCUUUUUCUUCCUGUGCCCAGGCUACAGCCCCGCGCGGGGAAUAAGCGCAAUUAUCUCGUCUCGCCACAUUUUUCCAGCUCUGCCUGAGGUUUAAUUAAAGCCAAGAGAAAAACACAGAGGAGCAGCACUGGGUUCUGCUAUCGCCCCACCACAUGUGGCAGGGAGAGGGGGAAAAAUGGGGGGGAAAAAACACAUAGAGAAAAAAAAAAAUAAGAAAAAAACACCACCUCCUUCAUUGUCGACUUUUUAAUUUAGUAAAGCUUCCUGGAUAUUGCUCCCUUAUCACAUUGCCUUUAAAUAUAUAUACAUAUAUAUAUAAAUAUAUAUAUGUAGCUAUGCAGGUGUCCAUGAAUAUAUAUGGACAGUAGAAUAUGCACACAGCCUAUCUCUAUAAAAAAUAUAUAUAAAGUGUAGCCUAAUCCCCUGUAAUCUCCUUGAAUUACACCUCAACCACCCUCCUCACAGGUGACCUUUCCACAAAAGGCUGUUUCUAUGCCAACAGCAUUGUUUGAGUCAGGCAAGAGAAAAAACACGGCACAAUAAUCUGUAAUUUUUCCUUAAUUCGGUGUUUUCACCCACGGUUAGGAGCCAGUUGAUGCUAGAAACACCCUGAUCACAGGAAAAGAAUAGUAUUAAAAAUUAAUUCAUAUCAAUUAUUUGAAUAUGAAGGGAAGAGGGAUGUAACCUUGGCCCAAUCUAGAUCUUGUCUAAAUUUCUGGAAUUGUUUUUUCAGUGUAAUUCCCCUCAUUUGGGGGCUUAGGAGCAAAAUCCAGUUUUAAGGCCCUUUCCUUGAAAUCUGCAUUUCUCUCUCCUGUUCCAUCUCAUCUUGCCAACACAAUCCACAGGUAUCGGUUUCUACCAACAAGUCCAUUUAUGGAAAAGUCACAAAAUCUCAAUUUUUUUCCAUUUUUACUGUUUUUUUGAGGAAUUCCACCAAGUAGUUCAUCUCCAGCGGAAUAAAAAAAAUAAAACUACAAUGCAUAACAAAUCUGAAAACCUUGAGAAGUUGUUAUAACAUGAACCAAAACAGCAAACAAUGUCAGGUAAUAAGUGGCUAUGAGAUUUGACUGAGCAAAAGCAGCUCAAUAUAAAUAAUUUUCCAGAGAAAAAGACUCUUUUGGGUCUAGAUAAUGUUACUGCAUUUAAAAUUUGGGAUCUUUUCCCUCACUUUUUUCAAUUCCUGGAGUUCCAACUCAGCCCAUAAAGCUCAUCCCAAAGCAGAAACUCUAACAGCGAUACAGAGAAUGAAAAAUUAGAUUUUUUCCAACAGAAGUUUCGGUUUUUUGGUGUAUUUUGGAGAGUGGCACAAGGACCCAUUGACUGUUGGGUUGAAGCAUCCCCAAAAUUGUCUUUUUCUGGCUUGUUGAGAGACAACAAACUCCAAAUUCCUGAAUAUUCUUCUUAUUGGCUGGUAGGGAAUUAUUUCUGUUUUUCUUCUGACCCAACCCCAACAUCUUCAUGGGUCCCAGAGGGAAAAUAUUUCCCAACAGAUCCAUCUCACAAGCGCUGAACCAAGAGGAUAAAAAUACCGGUUGCCAUGGGAACAUAAACUCUGGAGUUUGAAAAUACCAGAAUUAAACCUUACACUAAUUUCGAUCCUUAAAUCCCUGUUUUCGCAUCUGUGUUUUGGUGGGUUUGAGGGUUUUGGAGCAAAAAACCAGAAUUUCAAGACCUCUGCCAGGGUUUCACAUCAUUACAGAUAUCUUCCCACAGCUGGAUGCAUCUCCAAGCCAGGAAUAGAUUGAAAAAUUUUAAAAUUUAAAUACAGAGUUAAUUUUAAGACAGAAAUUAUUUUCUAAUUUAAUAACAAUUUUAUAAUUUAAUAAGAUACAUUACUCUCUAAUUCAAUAAUCUAGAUGACUUUUAAAUUAAAAACAAGGAAUAGUCCCAGCUUGUGGAAUCACCUCUCACCAUCCAGCUUUGGAAUCUGCCCCAUGAAUAAUUCCUGGAAUCAGGGUAAGGAAUUGAUCAUCCAGGGCCAAGAGAUACAAAAUUUGUUUCUGCAUCUUUUUUUAAUAAAAAAAAGCUUCUGAGAUUAAUUUUAUUUGCUCAAAAUAUACUGAAAUCCGUUAAGAAAUAUUAAAUAAUAAUAAUAAUAAUCAGGCCCCAGAGCUAAUGAUGCUCAGGCAGAGAAUUCCCUGUUCAGUGGCAGCAAGAGCUUCAAAAAGGUUUAAUGCAACUUUUAGAGUUGGUCUUAAGUAAAAUUGCUCAGACAAAACAGGGAAAAGCCACACUCCAAGGAAAAUAAAUAAUGUUUUACUCAUUAAUAAGGAGUAAAUUUGGGACCACCAGCACAGGGAACGGUCAGCUGGCAAAGCUGAGUGAUAAUAAAAGGAUCAUGAGUGAGAAAGGGACAUCAAAAUUCCUCAUCACAAAGGAAGAUUCCAGCCACUAAUCUUGAGUUUCCAAAGGAAAAAUAGAAGAGGGAAUCCCCUCCCAGUACCAGAAAAACACAAAGUUACUGCAACUAAUUAGUUGGCAACAACAAUAAAAUUAUUUUACACCAGCAUCAGAGAGUGCUGAGGGCUGGAAGGGUUUCCACAGGGCGCUGUGGGUUUGUUGGAUGUUUUUCCAACACGCUCCCAAGCGUUUGGAGCUUUGGCAGAGCUGAAUCAGUUCAACCUCCAUCAGUCUAACAAGGGUUAAGUUUCCUUCAAACACAGUUCAGGCUGAGCUUUGGACUCCCCCCGGUCCCAGCUGCAAAACUUCAGGUGACAGAGACAACGUGACAGAGACAACGUUGGCACCCUGGUGUUGUCACCAAUAACAAUUUCCACUGUUUUCUCCCAGAACAGCGGGGAUGCUGCAUAAUUUCAUUUCUCUAGAGGACCAAGCCAACAAUCCUGCUGCAUUUUGAGUAAAAUCUCAGUUUUGGGGCGUUUGGAUGUUAGUGGGACACUCCGUCGGGUGGAGAAGCAACCGCGGGAAUUUACUUACCCAGGUGACGCUCUCCUUUGGCAGCAAUAUCCCCCAAACCCCGAAAACUGGGGGAAAACAAGCCUGUGGGCCCAAAAAGGGGGUUUUUCACCUCGAAUUCCUAGCUGGAAGAAGAGGCCUGGCUUCUUGCAUGCCUCCACAUUAAAAAAAAAACCAUUAAAAAAAGCACGAAAAAGCAAAAAGUAACGAAAAGCAAGAAAAAGCGGAGGAAAAGCAA